rnacentral:rRNA from 1 species
GAUGAACGCUGGCGGCGUGCCUAAUACAUGCAAGUCGAACGCUGAAGGAGGAGCUUGCUCUUCUGGAUGAGUUGCGAACGGGUGAGUAACGCGUAGGUAACCUGCCUGGUAGCGGGGGAUAACUAUUGGAAACGAUAGCUAAUACCGCAUGACAACAGUUAUUGCAUGAUAACUGUUUAAAAGGGGCAACUGCUCCACUACCAGAUGGACCUGCGUUGUAUUAGCUAGUUGGUGAGGUAACGGCUCACCAAGGCGACGAUACAUAGCCGACCUGAGAGGGUGAUCGGCCACACUGGGACUGAGACACGGCCCAGACUCCUACGGGAGGCAGCAGUAGGGAAUCUUCGGCAAUGGACGGAAGUCUGACCGAGCAACGCCGCGUGAGGGAAGAAGGUUUUCGGAUCGUAAAGAUCGGUUGUAAGAGAAGAACGAGUGUGAGAGUGGAAAGUUCACACUGUGACGGUAUCUUACCAGAAAGGGACGGCUAACUACGUG